UAGGAAGUAGUAUAGUUGGAAGUACAAGGAGUUUUGAUCUCUUAAGGAUAGGUUCGGAUCCUAUUUUUCUAG
rnacentral:tRNA from 1 species